rnacentral:rRNA from 1 species
AGGACGAACGCUGGCGGCGCGCUUAACACAUGCAAGUCGAACGGGGUCCUUCGGGGCUCAGUGGCGAACGGGUGCGUAACACGUGAGCAAUCUGCCUUUUGUUGGGGGAUAACCUCGGGAAACCGGGGCUAAUACCGCAUACGCUCUUUUGGUCGGAAGACUGGGGGAGGAAAGGGGCUUAAGGCCUCGACGGAAGAGGGGCUCGCGGCGUAUCAGCUAGUUGGUGAGGUAACGGCUCACCAAGGCGAUGACGCGUAGGGGUCUGAGAGGAUGGCCCCCCACAUUGGGACUGAGAUACGGCCCAGACUCCUACGGGAGGCAGCAGUGGGGAAUCUUGCGCAA